CUCAGCUGGACAGUAAAAGACGUUUACACCACACACUGACAACAUGCUGGGGACCCUCUGCACUCUCAUCACUGCUCUAACAUAUGUUGAUGCAGCCAAAGUGCUGACCCAGACGCCUGCUGUCCACACAGUUUCUACAGGACAACAAGUUGUUCUCAACUGCAACAUUCAGAGAGAUGACAGAUAUGUCAGCUGGUAUAAACAGGUUCCUGGUGAAGCUCCUCAGUAUGUUGUGAGUUUCUACCAUAACAGCGCACUCAACUUUGGAUCAGGAUUCUCCUCAGACAGAUUCAACUGUAAAGCCUCAUCAAACAUAGAUUACCAGUUUAUCAUAAAGCGGACAGAGACAGGAGACUCUGCUGUCUAUUACUGUCAGACAUGGGACAGCUCUGCUUCUGCAGCUGUAUCACAGUGAUUCACACUGUGACAAAAACCUCAGUGAGAGACUCACUGCAGAUUUUAUGAAUUC